CUUACCAGAAAGUACUUCUAUGUGGAAAACAACAGAUGUGUUCUGUGUGGUGAUGAAACUAAUGAGGAUUAUAUCCACCUAUUCUUUUCAUGUGAUUUCAGUCAAAACUUCUGGAUUGCUCUGGGCUCUGAAUGGAAUGCAGAUUUGACUAUAUUCGAUAUGUUGAUGGAGGCCAAAAAGAGAAUUACAAUCAAAUGUUUCAAAUAAUGUUUGAUCGCAGGUUGCUGGAGUCUAUGGAAACACAGGAAUGGCAUCAUCUUUGAUCACAAGCAAAGAAACUUAGAAUAUUGCAUUAGUUGCUUCAAAGAACACUUUGCUAUGGUGACCAAGAGAACCAAACCUAGUCUUAAGGAGGGAAUGCAAUCAUGGUUAGAUUAUUUGUAG
rnacentral:rRNA from 1 species